rnacentral:lncRNA from 1 species
CUCCUUGUUCAUGAGCGGCGCCGGCCAUUCGUCGCGCAAGUUGCCGCUGCCACCAAGUUAGGGUUGUCGCUCUCCGUCGAGCUCCUAUGUCCAUUGUGCUGCUGCCACUGUCGAAUCGGAGGCGUGGCUCCCUUCUUCUCUUCGCGAGUGAGAGAGGUAGUUCUCUCCUUCGUGAAUCGCCUCUUGGAAGAGCUUGGCCACCGCAAGCCGCAAGCUAGGGCCCCACUAGUGCCGCCGAUCAUCGCCUGAACUGUCAGUAGCAUCAUCGUCCAGGCCAGUAGUGUCGGCGCCCCUUGCGGCGGCUCAACCUCUUCUACUAGUUGCAUCGCUUGGCGACGCCGAUGCAGCGACAUAACUUCCCAUUCUCCUCCCUCUCUAGUUCACCUGUGUUUUUUCUCUCUUGGGAAUGGUUGUGCUGUGUGUUGUAGGUGAAUGGGGGUUGGUGUUACAGGUGAAACAAUAAAAAAUUGAAGCUCAUAUUGUCAUUGCGAACAGAGGCCAGUAGUGUGUGGGUGAAUGAAUUGAGUAAACAAAGGUGAUGUUUGUUGCGUGAAUGGAGGGAUUAGAGAAGAGGGUGAGAGGUGGAUAAUGGAUGUUGUUGAGGUGCCAGACAGGUAGAGGCGUGGUUUGUGAGUGAGGAUAUGGUUGUGGUGAUGGUAGGAAAACACGGUAGAGGUUAGGAAAUGGGCUAGUUUUUCUCUGUUUUCAGGUGUUGAAGAAGAUGGAGGGGAGAAUCUGUGCGUGAUUAGUUCUUCUCUAUUUUGUUUCGGUUCUUUGUUUCUGUGUUCUGUAAUGGAGGAGGUGGUGGCUAGCGAAAGGGGUUGUGUGUGAGUGAGUAACGAGUCAAUAUUCGUUUGGUAGUGGUAAGUGUUGAUGAAGAUGGUGGAAUGGUAGCGGUAGGAGUUGACGGUUGGAGGGGAGUGAUACUGUUUUUGUUGAUUCAGAAUGGUGUACGAAGGAAAAGGGGAAUUGAGGGUAGUGUGAGAGGUGCCUAGUGGUUGGCAUUGGAAGUGCGCUGAUGAUAGUGAAGGGUGAUGAUGAAGAUGUUGUGUCUAGAGAACGGAUGUGCCACCCCAAGACUAUAGAGGCCUCCGAUGGAGAUGGCAGGUGGUGAAAGCCAUGGAGAAUGGUCAGAGGUAACAAUGAUGAAUCUGUUGGGUGAUGAAUUGGGAACCAGUGGUAUUGGAGAGCAGAGGAAACAGUUAAGAUGUGGUAAGGAGGUAGUGGUGAGUCCUAGGGGAAUUGUGCUAAUGGAAGAUCGGGAACGAAGGUGGUGGAAGAAUGCUAAUAGGAUCUGUGGGUGAUCUUGGAGGUGAGGGAAAACCAGAAUGCUUAAGCUUCCUCACUGUCCCAGCUUUCUUCUUCUGCUUUCUGAAUCACUGGGGCAUAUCUCUUAGGAUCUCCCUUUUGUCUUUUUCUUUUCUUUCAUUUAAAAUGGAUUCAUUAGCCAAAGUGAUUCAAAUUUCCUUUCCUAUUUGAUGUAAGAUUGCAGUUCUGCGCAAGGAUUCUGGCUUGUACACAAUGAGCACCAUGUUGCAGGAGAAACAGCGUUGCAGGAUAGAAAGCUUAGUUUGCGUUGCCAUAGGCUGGUAAUGGGAAGAAGCAAAGCCUGUUAUUCCUCAAAAAACAACUUAGGUUGACUAUUACGUUUUGUUUUCCUCUUUUUUCUUUUUUUUUUUUUUGAUUUUUUUGUUUUGUUAACAUUUAAC